AGAGUUUGAUCCUGGCUCAGGAUGAACGCUGGCGGCGUGCCUAAUACAUGCAAGUCGAGCGAACGGACGAGAAGCUUGCUUCUCUGAUGUUAGCGGCGGACGGGUGAGUAACACGUGGAUAACCUACCUAUAAGACUGGGAUAACUUCGGGAAACCGGAGCUAAUACCGGAUAAUAUUUUGAACCGCAUGGUUCAAAAGUAAAAGACGGUCUUGCUGUCACUUAUAGAUGGAUCCGCGCUGCAUUAGCUAGUUGGUAAGGUAACGGCUUACCAAGGCAACGAUGCAUAGCCGACCUGAGAGGGUGAUCGGCCACACUGGAACUGAGACACGGUCCAGACUCCUACGGGAGGCAGCAGUAGGGAAUCUUCCGCAAUGGGCGAAAGCCUGACGGAGCAACGCCGCGUGAGUGAUGAAGGUCUUCGGAUCGUAAAACUCUGUUAUUAGGGAAGAACAUAUGUGUAAGUAACUGUGCACAUCUUGACGGUACCUAAUCAGAAAGCCACGGCUAACUACGUGCCAGCAGCCGCGGUAAUACGUAGGUGGCAAGCGUUAUCCGGAAUUAUUGGGCGUAAAGCGCGCGUAGGCGGUUUUUUAAGUCUGAUGUGAAAGCCCACGGCUCAACCGUGGAGGGUCAUUGGAAACUGGAAAACUUGAGUGCAGAAGAGGAAAGUGGAAUUCCAUGUGUAGCGGUGAAAUGCGCAGAGAUAUGGAGGAACACCAGUGGCGAAGGCGACUUUCUGGUCUGUAACUGACGCUGAUGUGCGAAAGCGUGGGGAUCAAACAGGAUUAGAUACCCUGGUAGUCCACGCCGUAAACGAUGAGUGCUAAGUGUUAGGGGGUUUCCGCCCCUUAGUGCUGCAGCUAACGCAUUAAGCACUCCGCCUGGGGAGUACGACCGCAAGGUUGAAACUCAAAGGAAUUGACGGGGACCCGCACAAGCGG
rnacentral:rRNA from 1 species